CUACGUGCCAGCAGCCGCGGUAAUACGGAAGGUCCAGGCGUUAUCCGGAUUUAUUGGGUUUAAAGGGAGCGUAGGCUGGAGAUUAAGUGUGUUGUGAAAUGUAGACGCUCAACGUCUGAGUUGCAGCGCAUACUGGUUUCCUUGAGUACGCACAACGUUGGCGGAAUUCGUCGUGUAGCGGUGAAAUGCUUAGAUAUGACGAAGAACUCCGAUUGCGAAGGCAGCUGACGGGAGCGCAACUGACGCUUAAGCUCGAAGGUGCGGGUAUCAAACAGGAUUAGAUACCCUGGUAGUCCGCACAGUAARCGAUGGAUGCCCGCUGUUGGUACCUGGUAUCAGCGGCUAAGCGAAAGCAUUAAGCAUCCCACCUGGGGAGUACGCCGGCAACGGUGAAACUCAAAGGAAUUGACGGGGGCCCGCACAAGCGGAGGAACAUGUGGUUUAAUUCGAUGAUACGCGAGGAACCUUACCCGGGCUUGAA
rnacentral:rRNA from 1 species